GGAAACUCGGGCUAAUACCGCAUACGCCCUACGGGGGAAAGGGGGCUGAGAGGCUCUCGUUGUCAGAUGAGCUCAUGUCCGAUUAGCUAGUUGGUGGGGUAAGGGCCUACCAAGGCGACGAUCGGUAGCUGGUCUGAGAGGAUGGCCAGCCACACUGGGACUGAGACACGGCCCAGACUCCUACGGGAGGCAGCAGUGGGGAAUAUUGGACAAUGGGCGCAAGCCUGAUCCAGCGAUGCCGCGUGGGUGAAGACGGCCUGCGGGUUGUAAAGCCCUUUCGAUGGGGAAGAAAGGCCGGCGGUGAAGAGCUGCGGGUGUUGACGUUACCCAUAGAAGAAGCAC
rnacentral:rRNA from 1 species